AGCCCUGACUGAUGGGGUCCCCAUGGCAGACGGAGGCCUUCCUCUCUCAGUCCACCCAGGUGCUUUCUUACCUGCACGAUGUAGUCACAAUCUUCCACCUCGAACGCAAUGUCCUUCACUCCGUCACCGUGUUUCACCAGGUGAUCGCCCAUCUCUGUGGCCGGCAGGGAGAGGAUGGCACUGGAGUCUGGAGUCUAGGUCCCCUCACCUGGCUUUUAGUCUCCAUCCAGGCCCUGAACCCAGAGCCCACCCACGGAGCCAUGCGUCCACCCUCCCAGAACCCAGAUCCCACCCACAGAGCCAUGCGUCCACCCUCCCCGGGCACCUCACCUUUGUUCCAGGGGUUGAGCGCUGAGGAGAGGACAAACACAAUCUAAGAUAGGAGGAGAAGGAGGAUUCAGAGUAUCUGGCCCACCCCUGGCCUGAUCCUCCCUCCCAAGGGCCAAUCACAGACCCUGCUGGAGGCCUGCCCUUGUCAGGCAGCCCUCUGCCCUGCCGUCUGCUCACUCCAGCACCUUGCCCCGGCUUCUACCUGCUUGGCGUUGCCAACCCAGAAGGUCACAGAGUGGAAGUGGAGGAAUCGGCCUCUCUCAGGCUGCAGAAGGAGAGAAGAGAUGAGGAACUUGAGAUUCAAGAAGAGGAAGAAUUGCCCAAAUAACUUGUUCUUUGUGGCUAGAAAAUGCUUACAUGGAACUCACCAGGCCACAUUCAUAUUACUAUGUUUGUGAUCAUCCAAACAUAAAACCAGUUCCUAGGC